GACGAACGCUGGCGGCGUGCUUAACACAUGCAAGUCGAACGAGUGGCGAACGGGUGAGUAACACGUGGGUGAUCUGCCUUGCACUUCGGGAUAAGCUUGGGAAACUGGGUCUAAUACCGGAUAGUGCAAGAUGAGCUCGCGGCCUAUCCGCUGGUUGGUGGGGUAGUGGCUACCAAGGCGCGACGGGUAGCCGGCCUGAGCGGGUGUACGGCCACAUUGGGACUGAGAUACGGCCCAGACUCGUACGGGAGGAAGCAGUGGGGAAUAUGGCACAAUGGGCGGAAGCCUGAUGCAGCGACGCCGCGUGGGGGAUGAAGGCUUUAGGGUUGUAAACCUCUUUCGCUAUCGAACGGGUAGGUGGAGAAGAAGCGCCGGCUAACUACGUGCCAGCAGCCGCGGUAAUAC
rnacentral:rRNA from 1 species